AAAUACGCAGCGGAGAUCCGAGAUCCGAACCGAAAGGGCACACGGGUGUGGCUGGGGACGUUCGAUACAGCUAUCGAAGCCGCCAAAGCGUAUGAUAAAGCAGCGUUCAAGCUGCGCGGCUCCAAAGCCAUUCUUAACUUUCCUUUGUUAGCUGGGAACACACGCGCCAAUGAGGGAAACGAAAGGAAACGAACCAGAGAAAGUGCGAUUGUAGAGGAAGAAGCGAAGAAAGUAGUGAAGCGAGAAGAAUCUGAGAGGGACGUUGAGUUGACGCCGUCGAACAGGACGGCAAUUUGGGACAGCGGCGAUUUGAAAGGGAUAAUGCCAUUGUCUCCGCUAUCUCCCC
rnacentral:misc_RNA from 1 species